AACGAACGCUGGCGGCAUGCCUAACACAUGCAAGUCGAACGAGACGUUCGGGUCUAGUGGCGCACGGGUGCGUAACGCGGGGGAACCUGCCCUUAGGUUCGGAAUAACUCCCCGAAAGGGGUGCUAAUACCAGAUAAUGUCUUCGGACCAAAGAUUUAUCGCCUGUGGAUGGGCCCGCGUUGGAUUAGCUAGUUGGUAGGGUAAAAGCCUACCAAGGCGACGAUCCAUAGCUGGUCUGAGAGGAUGAUCAGCCACACUGGGACUGAGACACGGCCCAGACUCCUACGGGAGGCAGCAGUGGGGAAUAUUGGACAAUGGGCGAAAGCCUGAUCCAGCAAUGCCGCGUGAGUGAUGAAGGCCUUAGGGUUGUAAAGCUCUUUUACCCGUGAUGAUAAUGACGGUACCGGGAGAAUAAGCCCCGGCUAACUCCGUG
rnacentral:rRNA from 1 species